rnacentral:rRNA from 1 species
UGGGGAAUAUUGGACAAUGGGGGAAACCCUGAUGCAGCGACGCCGCGUGGAGGACGAAGGAUCUAGGUCUGUAAACUCCUUUUUCACGGAAAGACUUAGGACGGUACCGUGAGAAUAAGCCCCGGCUAACUACGUGCCAGCAGCCGCGGUAAGACGUAGGGGGCGAGCGUUGUCCGGAUUUACUGGGCGUAAAGAGCGCGUAGGCGGCUCGUUAAGUGUGAAGUGAAAUCUCCAGGGCUCAACCCGGAAACUGCUUCGCAUACUGGCGAGCUUGAGGAAUGCAGAGGUAAGUAGAAUUCCUGGUGUAGCGGUGAAAUGCGUAGAUAUCAGGAGGAAUACCGACGGCGAAGGCAGCUUACUGGGCAUUAUCUGACGCUGAGGCGCGAAAGCGUGGGUAGCAAACAGGAUUAGAUACCCAAGUAGUCCCUGAGCGGGCUGGCAAGGCGCAU